GGCCACCACCUCAUCCGCCCCGUCCUCGGCGGGCGCCUCCUCCACCUCGACAGGCUCGGCGGCCUCGGCGGCGGAGGCGGCGAGCGCGAGGCGCGCGGCGCGGCGGGAGGAGGAGGAGGAGGGGAAGCGGAGGUGGAGGAGGGGGAGCGGGUGGAACUUGGAGGUGGAGGGGAGGGAGAGGUGGGAGAAGGCGGUGGUGAGGGAGAGCGCCAUGGGAGGGAG
rnacentral:misc_RNA from 1 species